rnacentral:rRNA from 1 species
UACGGGGGGGGGGCAAGCUUGUUCGGAAUUACUGGGCGUAAAGCGCACGUAGGCGGCCCGAUCAGUCCGCUGUGAAAGUCAAAAGGCUCAACCUUUGAAUGCCGGUGGAUACUGUCGGGCUAGAAUUCGGAAGAGGCGAGUGGAAUUCCUGGUGUAGCGGUGGAAUGCGCGGAUAUCAGGAGGAACACCUAUAGCGAAGGCAGCUCGCUGGGACGAUAUUGACGCUAAGGUGCGAAAGCGUGGGGAGCGAACAGG